UGGCCCAGAUCGUUUACCGUGAAAAAAUUAGAGUGUUCAAAGCAGGCAGAUUCAAUUUUCUGCCACCGAAUACAUUAGCAUGGGAUAAUGGAAUAGGACCCUGUCCUCCUAUUUUCAGUUGGUUUUGGCAGCGCGAGGACUAGGGUAAUGAUUAAUAGGGAUAGUUGGGGGCAUUAAUAUUUAAUUGUCAGAGGUGAAAUUCUUGGAUUUAUGAAAGAUUAACUUCUGCGAAAGCAUCUGCCAAGGAUGUUUUCAUUAAUCAAGAACGAAAGUUAGGGGAUCGAAGACGAUCAGAUACCGUCGUAGUCUUAACCAUAAACGAUGCCGACCAGCGAUUAGGAGACGUUGAAUACAAAACACCACCAUCGGCGCGGUCGUCCUUGGCGCGUUCGUGUUCACGCACGGGCGCGCGAGGGCGGCUUAGCCCGGUGGCACCGGUGAAUGACUCCCCUAGCAGCUUGUGAGAA
rnacentral:rRNA from 2 species